rnacentral:rRNA from 1 species
UUUAACUGAAGAGUUUGAUCAUGGCUCAGAUUGAACGCUGGCGGCAGGCUUAACACAUGCAAGUCGAGCGGGGGAAGGUAGCUUGCUACCGGACCUAGCGGCGGACGGGUGAGUAAUGCUUAGGAAUCUGCCUAUUAGUGGGGGACAACAUCUCGAAAGGGAUGCUAAUACCGCAUACGUCCUACGGGAGAAAGCAGGGGAUCUUCGGACCUUGCGCUAAUAGAUGAGCCUAAGUCGGAUUAGCUAGUUGGUGGGGUAAAGGCCUACCAAGGCGACGAUCUGUAGCGGGUCUGAGAGGAUGAUCCGCCACACUGGGACUGAGACACGGCCCAGACUCCUACGGGAGGCAGCAGUGGGGAAUAUUGGACAAUGGGGGGAACCCUGAUCCAGCCAUGCCGCGUGUGUGAAGAAGGCCUUAUGGUUGUAAAGCACU